ensembl:lncRNA
GAUGAACAUAAGGUCAUUCCUCAGCUGGCGCACAGAUGAGAACUGACUUCUGAGAAGCUACAAGGAUUGUUUGGCAAGAGGCCUGGAAUGACUCACGGCACAUGCAGAUGACACAAUAUUGCAAAGAGUUCAGGAGAACAUUCUUUCCAUUUCUGUGCAGAAUGCAAUGACUGCAACCACAGGGCUCUGGAAGGUCUUCGGAGGUGGAGGUGCUGGCCAUGCCUGCCGGAGUUCAUCUUUGUAGAAUGCAGCAGCACAGUGGAGGGAAGGUGGCUACUUCACAAAAAUCUGUGGGCAGCAACUUAAACGGUGAAACCACAGACUAAGACAAGCCUUGGAGAUCUCUAACUGCCUAUAGAAGAAGUGAUACUGAGGAGGAAGGAAACAACCCCAGGUGUUUUACCACCCAACUUUGGGUUUAGAAAAGUGAAGAAAGCAUUAAAAUCCUGUCUAAAAACCAAAAUCACCAUAAAGAUAAAGAGAGUUGAAACUUCUAUGAUGAAUAGGAGUUGCAGCUCCUUCAGCCUGAAGAGCCAGAGCAAGGAUGACAGCGUGAGCGAAAACGCCAAGGGCAUCAGACAGGCUUGGUCUUUCAACUUGCAGCCUAUUCGUCUAAAGCUGAUGGUGCUUCAGGGAGAGUUUGCUUUUUGGAGAGAACUUUCACUGUGUCCACCCUCUGAGACAGCAAGAGUAGUCUGCAUUUUGAAAAAUUGAAGUGGGACAUUUAAUUUCUCUAAAGAUUAAAGCAAAAACUUCCAUCCUGAGUGACUUACUUUGAGUUAACCACGGCUGCUGGAAAGCUACAGGUGGAAACGAUGGUCAAACCAUUGAUAUCUUCUGUCACAUCUCUUAAAAUUACGUCUCAGAACAGCAAGUCCAGCAUAGGAGGGGAAGAUUUGGAGCUUCCAAGUAAGACUAUGGGUGGGAUUCCCCCAGUCACUGGGACCAAGAAAACCACACAGUUUGGAGAAUUUAUAGCACGUCCUGGCCCUUGUAUAACUUCCUCAUUACUUAGCAGAGCAGGGUUUGGCCUGUUCUUUCAGAUGUCAAGGAACAGACCCAACUCCAGUGUCUUUGUUGAAUGAUGAGUUCAUUGUAAAUGUGCAUGGGAAUAAAAAGGAAGAGAAAAAUGUCAUAUCUGCCAUAAAUCGCCUCCUCAUGGACAAUUGGAACUGAGCCAUUGCUGUCCAGGGCACAGCAGUAGCUCGAGUCAGCCUGCAACAGUGCUGGUGGCCUAACAGCCACUCAAGUUGUUCAAAACUCAGCUCUCCUUUCCCUGCUGCUAUUUUGUCUGCGCUAAUGAAGAACUGACAUUUAUUUUUCUUUCUCUAAUUCUUGAAUUCAGCUUUUACUUUCUUUUGGCUUCUACUACUACCAUCUCUGUGCGUCUCAACUCUUCUAUGCAGCUGUAGUGAAUUUUUGUCAUUUUCUGAUUGUCCAGAAUCUCACCACUACCUUCCUUCCUAAUCACAUUAAAUCCUCUUUAUAGGGAAUUCUUGAUUAUGUUCCAUCUUGGUGGAGAGCAUCCCUUACCUCCACUGCAGAAAUUAAGGGGUCUUGAACUUCCCUCUCCCUGCCUUGUAGAACUCAGGGGGUAAGCACUGCCUUAGAUUUUGCCAAUAUGAUUAUUUCUUCUCAAACUUCAAAUCUUGAGCAGAUGAUGCAAGAAUUUGAAAAUGGUUAGAGAGCUUAUUCAUCUCAGCAGCAGGAGUAUGUGCAGUACCUAUUGUUCCUGUGCAUGACCUUGACUCCUGCUUAUUUUCCAGACUCUAUACGUUUCCCAUACAUCGCCUAUAUUUUCUUUUUGUUGCUUCUUAGAGAUAUCUUUCCAGUAAAUUUCCUUUUCUUGUAAAACAUUAGACUGUAAGUGCCACAAGGACUGGGAAAUUUUCCUGCUUUGUUCACUGUAAGGAUUUAGUGCAUCAAGCGUGUCUGACCCAGAGUGAAUGUUCAAUGAAUAUUUAUUAAGUAAAUAAGUGAAAGAAUGGAAUGCCAAUUAUCUUUACUUGCAGUCAAGUUUCCAUGACGCAAUGCAGGAAGAAGAAUUCAAGCAGAGCCCAGGAGUCUUUCUAAGUUGAGACAGAAUUUGGAACUCAAGGAGGCUGAUGUUCUUAGCAUUUACAGGGUAGAGUAUUGGAGAGGAGGAAACUGCACACAGGGAAGACUACAGAGGUCAGUAAAAGAUGUCCUUGAAUCUUUGAGCAAAAGGUUAUCUGUCCAUGCAUGGGAUGAAAUUCUAUAAGCCUGGAGAAAGAAGCCCCAAAAGUAAUAGGUUGAAAAGUUCCCCAAGCUCACAAAGAUUUUUUUCCCUUCCAGCCAGACUGAAGAGACCUUGUACUACAUGGGGCAUUGUGUAGAUCCCUCAGAAAGCUCCCCCCUUAGUAGUUGGGCUACAUUAUACUUAGAAUAAAGGCUGGUCUGGACCCAUCCUUACAAAGCUUGAAAGAAAAUGUUGAAAAGGUUAAAUUGAUUUGCAAGUAACUACUGAAUGCCAGAAAUUCAACACCAUUUAAAUGAAUACAACAAAAUUCACCACAAAACAACAUAAAUUUCCACAAUGCUAAAAUAAAGUAAUAAUAAGGCAUGCGAGAAAGCAGGGAAAUAGGACAUAAUCAGGAAGAAAAAAAUCAAUAUAAGGAAACAAAGGAAAAGGUAUAAUUAGCAGACAGAUUUUUAACACCUAUUUCAAAUAUUAUAAAUAUGCUCAAGAAUGUAAAGGGAAACAUAAGCAUGAUGAUAAGAAAAACUGAAGAUUCUCAAAGACUCAAAUGGAACUUCUAGAGAUUAAAACUACAAUAUAUAAAAUGAAAAAUACACUACAUACAAUUGGUAGCAGAUUAGAUACUGCAAAGAAAAGAUCAGUGAACUUGAAGAUGAAGUGAUAGCAACUAUCCAAAAUGAAGCAUCACGGUGGAAAAAUUAAACAGAUUCACUGAAGACACUGUCAGUCUAACAAAUGUGUAAGUAGAUGAAAGAGAGAGAGAAGAGCUGAGACAGAAAAUGCUUGAGGAAAUAACAGGUAAAAACUUGUAAAAUUUGAUUAAAACUAUAAACCCAGAAUAUAAAAAGUUUAUAAACUCCAAACAAAAGAAAUAUUAAGAAACCACACCAAAGCACAUUAUUAUCAAAUUGUUGAAAAGCAAUGAUAAAGAGAAGAUAAUUAAAGCAACCAGAGAAACAAAGAAAAGAUUUAUGGCAUUUUUCUCACCAGAAACUGUUAUCCAGAUGACAGUAGAGUAGGAUCUCUUGAGAACUGAAACACAUUAUCAACUGACAAUUUUAUAUCCAAUAAAAAUGACUUGGAAAUAUAAAUGUUAAAUCAAGUCCAUCCUAGACAAACAAAAGAUGAAAUAAUUUAUUGCCAGCAGCCUUGGAUUAUAAGAAAUUUUAAAGGAAGUCUUUCAGGCUGAAACAAAAUGUUAACAGGUAGAAAUUUGAAUCUCCUUGAAGGAAUGAACAGCAUUAGAAAAGAUAAAUAUAUCUGUAAAUAUAAAAGUCUCUUUGCCAUUUUUAAUCUCUUUAAAAUAUGAAUUUUAAUCCCCAAAUAAUAACAAUAUAUUUGGGGUUUAAAACAUACAGUACAAAUAAAAUACAUAAGAACAAUAGCAAAAACAAUAAAUCAGAAGGGUGGAAUGAAAAUAUACUGUCAAAAAUUCCUAAAUUGUACAUUAUGCAGUAUAAUUGUUUUUAAAGAUAAACCAAAAAUGGGUUAAAAAUUUAUAUUAUAAACCUAUAGAAACAACCAAAUAGUAAAGAAGCUAAAUUCUGAGUCAAUUGUAGAGGUACAAUGGAAUAAUAAAAAAAUACUCAAUUCAAGAGAAGACAUAAAAUGAGGAAAAGGAAAACCAAGAACAGAUGGGACAAGUAGAAAUCAAACAGUAAAAUUAUAGCUUUAAAUGCUGUCAUAUUUAUAAUUACAUUAAAUAUAACUAGACUAAAAACACUAAGUGAAAAGCAGGUCGAUCAGAUUGCAUUAAAAAAAGAUAAGACUAGAUAUCAUUUACAAGAUAGAUAUUGUUUAUGAGAAACCCAUUUUAAAUAUAAAGUCACUGAUAGGUUAAAAAAUGAAGAAAAGAGAGCUUGGCCCUGUGGCUAAGUGGUUAAAGUUUGGUGGGUUCCACUUCGGUGGCCUGGGUUCGCGAGUUAGGAUCCCUGGAAUGGACCUAAUCUACUCACUAGCCAUGCUGUGGUGGUAUCAAACAUACAAAAUAGAGGAAGGCUAGCACAGAUGUUAGUGCAAGGACAAUCUUUCUCAAGCAAAAAAAGGGGAGAAUUGGCAAUGGAUGCUAGCUUAGGGCAAAUCUUCCUCAGUGAAAGAAAAAAAAAAAGAAGGAAAAAAGAUAUAAUAUUCAAACAUUAAUUAUAGACAUACCUAGUUUUAUUGUACUUUGCUUUACUGCACUUCACAGAUACUGUGUUUUUUACAAGACCCUCUGCCAGCAAGAAGAUUAUGCACACUGAAGCCUCAGAUGAUGGUUAGCAUUUUUAAAAAAUAAAAUAUUUGUUAAUUAAGGUAUGUAUUUUGUUUUUACAGACCUAAUGCUAUUUCAGACUUAAUAGACUACAGUAUAGUAUAAACAUAACUUUUGUAUUCACUGGGAAACCAAAAAGUUUGUGUGACUCGCUUUAUUGCUAUAUUCACUUUAUUGAGGUGAUCUGGAACGGAACCCACAAUAUCUCUGAGGUAUGCUUAUAAAGGAAUGCUGAAGUGUUUAUAUUAAUAUCAGACAAAGUGGAAUUCAGAACAAAGAAUGAUAGCAGAAAUAAAGAAGGACAUUUCAUAAUAAUAAAGAAAUUGAUUCUUCAAGAAGACCUAAUAACGAUUAAUGUGUAAAGACAACUACAGAACUUCAAAAUAGAUAAAGCAAAAACUAAUAGAAAUAAAAGGAGAAAUAGAGAAAUUCACAACUUUGGGUAUUUCAACAGCCAUUACUCAGUAAUUGGUGGAAGCAGGCAAAAUAUCAGUAAGGACAUAGAAGACUUAGAAAACAUAGCCACCAAGUUGCACUCAUUCAUAAUUAUAGAUCCCUCCCAAUCACAUGUAGAAGACACAUUUUUCAAGUACACAUGGGAUAUCCGCUAAUGUAGACAGUAUUAUGGCCCAUCAAACAAAUUUAAAUACAUUUAGAAGGACUGAAAUCAUACAAAGUAUUUUCUAUGACCACAACAGAACUAAACUAGAAAUCAGUAACAAAAAAAAAAAAUCUGUAAAAUCUCAAAAUAUUUAGAAACUGAGCAUCAUAUUUUCUGAACAACACAUUGUUCAAAUUUUUAAAAGUGAGAAGUUAGGAAAUAUUUUAACUGAAUGGAAAUAAAAAUAUCAUAUAUCAAAAUUAGUAGGAUGCAGCUAAAGCAGUGAUUAAAGAAAAUUUACAGCAUUGAAUGCAUAUAUUAGGAAAGAGGAAAAUUUCAAUAUCAUUGAUUUAAGCUUCUAUCAUAAGAAACCUAAACAAGAAAAACAACAGAUACCCAAAGAAAGCAGAAAGAAGAGUAUAAUUACAGAUAAGAGUAUAAAUCAAUGCAAUAGAAAAAAGACACACAAUAGAGAAAAUCAAUGAAACAGAAAACUCAUUCUUUAAAAAGAGGAAUAAAAUUAAUAAACUUCUAGCUAUUUGGAUAAAGAAAUAGAGAGCAUACAAAUUAAAAAUAUCAGGACUAAAAGAGGUGACAUAAUUAUAGAUCCUGCAGAUAUUUUGUUUUAAAAGGAA